rnacentral:sRNA from 1 species
UAGUAGCUGGAGCCCGUACGGGGGCGGGGC